UUCAGCAUUUAGACUCGUUUGUGGGAUUGAAUCAGGAAAGUGAACUCUUAGCAUUGUAACCUUUCACAGAAGGUUUCAAUAAUUGUACCCUUCGAUCAACCAAUUGAAUUCACUCCUCUUGUAAAUAGUUUUCUUUUGUAUAUAGUUUUUGUGCAUACUUUAUUUAAUUUGUUAGUUGUUAAAAUCUCUUUUGUUAAAUUAUAUUGAAUUUGUAGUCUAGAAAUAAUAAAAAAAAAUGAAUUAGAAUAUGAAAUAAAUAAAUCUAGUGUAAAAAUCCCUAUCCUUUCCUACCCAUUUUUCUUGGUGUCAGAUGCCCUUCACAACCCUAUUAGAAUUUGAAUUUACAAACUAUGUCCAAUAUCCCCCUGACACCAAAGACCGUGUGCACCAACCAUAUUGAACGUUGGAUACACGUCACCCCAAUAUGGAUUCCAGGAUCAGUGAUUCAGCUGAUAUAAAAACCCCAUGCAUCGAUGGAUCGCUCUCUUAUUCGUGUAGCAAAAUAGCCAGAUUAGUGCCCUGCCCACGUGAACGUUUGAAAAAUCUACCCGGUAUUGAAGCUACUGUGUUGCAGCCCGUUAGUGAAGCCGUUAGUGGACCGUUCGUUCCACGUGUUAGUGAGAGUCGACCAAAGUUAGUGGGUGCAUCUACCGAAGAGAAGGCGUCAACCAGAGCGUCCCGACGGCCACCAGCCAGAGUGCGUCGGAGCCUAGAGACGGCAGAAAUUGCGCCAACCCCAGCCUGCGUCACAUCAUUAGCGGCAGCGGAACAUCGUGGUUACCCGAGCAGAAAAGGUGUGUCCAUUCCAAAAUUUCCUUCACUCUUUCCCAUGUAUAUACCCCUUUGAAUUCAAAAUUAAUUAAAUUAAAGAGCUUUUGUUGAAUUAGAA